UAGAACAUCAUGAAGCGCUCUUCUUCUUCUUCCUCCUCCACUGCACAAACUAUGGCAAUCAUGGCUAUUUUAUUACUAUGCUACUUCUUCUUCUUCCUCCUCCACUGCACAAACUAUGGCAAUCAUGGCUAUUUUAUUGGUUCAUCCAGACGGUUUCCGCCCUGUGAUGGGUCCUCCAUCGCCGCGGCCCGGGAAAUCCAUUAGUUGCGCCCAUGGAUGCCGCCACCUUGACACUACGCCACCGGCAACACUAGCGCCGCACCGCAAGAUCCUGCAGCGAGCAGCUGCCAACGUGCCCCUAAUGUAUGAAGCACCACCGAUGCCAUGAGCACCGGGUCUCUUUUUCUUGCCGCGACAUGUCGAGCUCUCGGUUAUUUCAUGAUUUUCCUUGUCGUCUUCGAAUCACACUGCGUGAAAGGGUGUUUGUGCGACUGGUAUAUAAGUAAAGACUCUGGAAAACAAAUAAUGAACGGAUAUGGUUGAAUCGUUCUUACAACUGUAUAAACAAUAUCUAGAUAGGAUGUUAUUACGCGAAAAUGCAUAGGUGAACAUGGCGCCACGCGAGGUCUUUAUCUCACCAUCCAUUUCUCGCAGAUUUGUAUCGUAUUCAUACCAUAAGCAGUGCAUAUCACGUAUAUUGAAUA